rnacentral:RNase_P_RNA from 1 species
GGAGUCGGCCGGGCAGUCGCGUCGCGCGCAAGCGCAUCGAGGAAAGUCCGGGCUCCACAGGGCAGAGUGCCAGGUAACUCCUGGGCAGCGUGAGCUGACGGCCAGUGCAACAGAGAGCAGACCGCCGAUGGCCUCGCAAGAGGAUCAGGCAAGGGUGAAAGGGUGCGGCAAGAGCGCACCGCACUCGGAGCAAGACCAAAUAGGGGAACGAUAACGCGGCCCGCGUUGUUCCCGGGUAGGUUGCUGGAGCCAGGCGGCGACGCCUGGCCGAGAGGAAUGACUGUCGCGCCGCAAGGCGUACAGAACCCGGCUUACAGGCCGACUCCACCU